CGGGAGGGGGGGAGCCGGGUGAAGUGCUGCUUCGUGCGUGGCUCAGUGCCUUUCUUUCUUCUGGCGUGCCUCCCGCCCGAGCUUUGGCCAGUGGAGAUGGCAGGGACCUCAGACCAAGCUGGAUGCGGUAGCCAAGCUGUGAGGAUGCAGGCAGGUACUGGAUGGGGAGCAAAGAUGGCACCAAGGUUUCUCUCCUGCUUUGGGACCCCACCGUGUAGGUGUGAGGUCCUGUCAUGGGGGAAUGUCAGCAGGGAGCUGGGUCCACCUUAAGGCU
rnacentral:lncRNA from 1 species